GAUGAACGCUGGCGGCGUGCUUAACACAUGCAAGUCGAACGGGAUCCCAGGAGCUUGCUCCUGGGUGAGAGUGGCGAACGGGUGAGUAAUGCGUGACCGACUGCCCCAUAACCGGAAUAGCUCCUGGAAACGGGUGGUAAUGCCGGAUGCUCCAGUUGACCGCAUGGUCCUCUGGGAAAGCUUUUGCGGUAUGGGAUGGGGUCGCGUCCUAUCAGCUUGAUGGCGGGGUAACGGCCCACCAUGGCUUCGACGGGUAGCCGGCCUGAGAGGGCGACCGGCCACAUUGGGACUGAGAUACGGCCCAGACUCCUACGGGAGGCAGCAGUGGGGAAUAUUGCACAAUGGGCGCAAGCCUGAUGCAGCGACGCCGCGUGCGGGAUGACGGCCUUCAGGUUGUAAACCGCUUUUGACUGGGAGCAAGCCCUUCGGGGUGAGUUACCU
rnacentral:rRNA from 1 species